rnacentral:rRNA from 1 species
GAGCCAACAUCUAACGCACAAACAUAUACCAAUAAACAAACAAAACAUUUGACCAUCCUAGUAGAUGAGAUCGAACAGCAAACCACUAGUACCGCAAGGGGAAACAAACAAGCAACAAACAGCAAAGAUUAACCCUUGUACCUUUUGCAUCAUGGUCUAGCAAGAAACCAAAGACAAGAAGAAUCAAAGCCUCCACCCCGAAACCAGAUGAGCUACUUUCAAGCAGCUAACGGGCACACCCUUCUCUGUAGCAAAAGAGUGGGAAGACUUAAAAGUAGAAGUGAAACGCCUACCGAAUCUGGAGAUAGUCGGCUACCCCAAAAAGAAUAUAAGUUCACCACAGACUACAAGACUUAUUCUACCUGUGGAACUAAUAGGGGUACAGCUCUAUUGAAAUAGGAUACAACCUGAAUUUGAAAGGAAAAUUACACUGCCCCUAGUAGGCCCUAAAGCAGCCACCUAACAAAAUAUCGUUAAAGAAUUAUACAACUUAAACCCAACACUAAUCAAAAACUCCAAAUCAACUAAAGGUAAGGCCAUUAUAAUGGGUCCUACCAUGCUAGAACUAAUAAUAAGACAAUAUCUCUUCAUGCACCUUUAUACUAAAACCGGACCAACCACUAGCCAUUAACAGACCACAUUAGGAAUAAACUAAGCACUACACAACUUUAAACAAACUGUUACCCCAACACAGGCGCAUCAAAAAGAAAGAUUUACCAUUAUAAAAGGAACUCGGCAAACAAAGACUUCAACUGUUUAACAAAAACAUAACCUUUAGACUAACCAAUAUUAAAGGCAACGCCUGCCCAGUGAACAAUUAAACGGCCGCGGUACCCUAACCGUGCAAAGGUAGCAUAAUCAUUUGUCUACUAAUUAUAGACCUGUAUGAAAGGCAAAAUGAAAGUCUAGCUGUCUCUUAUAAUAAACCAAUUAAACUGAUCUCCUAGUAAAAAAGCUGGGAUUUAACCAUAAGACCAGAAGACCCUGUGAAGCUUAAACUAAACUAUUAAACCUCGUAAUAAUUACUUUCGGUUGGGGCGACCUUGGAAAAAAAGAGAACUUCCAACAAUACGACCUACCUCGUACCACCCGCACAGGUUAACAAGCAAUUAAUGACCCAGCAAAGCUGUAAUUGAACCAAGUUACUCCAGGGAUAACAGCGCAAUCCUCUUCAGAGCCAUAUCAAAGAGGUUACGACCUCGAUGUUGGAUCAGGACAUCCUAAUGGUGCAGACGCUAUUAAGGGUUCGUUUGUUCAACGAUUAA